rnacentral:rRNA from 1 species
GUAGUCCACGCCCUAAACGAUGUCAACUAGGUGUUGGGGAAGGAGACUUCUUUAGUACCGCAGCUAACGCGCUAAGUUGACCGCCUGGGGAGUACGGUCGCAAGAUUAAAACUCAAAGGAAUUGACGGGGACCCGCACAAGCGGUGGAUUAUGUGGAUUAAUUCGAUGCAACGCGAAAAACCUUACCUACCCUUGACAUGUCCGGAAGAUCGCAGAGAUGUGAUUGUGCCCGAAAGGGAACCGGAACACAGGUGCUGCAUGGCUGUCGUCAGCUCGUGUCGUGAGAUGUUGGGUUAAGUCCCGCAACGAGCGCAACCCUUGUCAUUAAUUGCCAUCAUUCAGUUGGGCACUUUAAUGAGACUGCCGGUGAUAAACCGGA